AACCGAUGAUAUUUUUUUAUUGAAAUGUUUUUAAAAAAACUACUGAGUGACAAUAGCCCCUACCUUUUCAGUAAAUGAAAAUAGCCAAGCAAAGCUCUUUUGUGAAUACAACUUUGAAUAUAUUUUCAAUUGGAGUCUUGACAGAUGCAAUUAGUUGUGUCAAAUUUUCUUCACUACAAUAGUACAUGGAUACAUGCAACUCAAUGUCAGAAAAUUAAUUCCAUAGGACUAUGAUUUUUUUUUUGUUAAGCUUGUUAAACUUGGACAAACUCCCAUAAAUAUUAUCAUAAUUAGCUUACUAUGUUAAAAAAUAUGUAAAAAAGAGAAUUUAAUAUAAUAAAAAAUCUACAAUCAUAUCAAUAAUUUUGAAUUUUAUUUACAUUAAUGCCCUAUAGGGUCACUUCAUCAAUUUCCUUGACUAAUAAAUUUAUACAGCUUUUAAAAAUAGUUAAAUUCUUCAUUAAUAAUGAUAUAAUUUAUUUCCCUAUAAUAAUAAAAACAUUAUAUGAAACAGUAUUAAAAUCCCACUAACUACUGUCCAUUUUAUAGAUUAUCAAUUUUCUCUUAUUACAUCUAAUUACUUCUAAACCAUGGCUCAGAUAAUUGCCUUCAACAUAUGUACAUACUCUUCCAUGCAGUAGUAAAAAAAUAUAGGGGAAGGCUGGAUUUUUACCUAUACUCGGCACAAUGACGUCAGACAUAUUUUAACCAUCACUAUGUAUUACUCUGGGUUAAUAAUUUGAUUAUUAAGGACUAAACACUAUACAACAGAGUAUAUGUAUAUACCAUCAAACGAUAAUUAAUCUAAAUUCACACAGAGAUUAAUGAUCUAAAGUUAUAUUGUCUUAGAUAAUGUUAAAAAGAAAUCAUUGUAACUCCUCACUAUAAAGUACAUGGGUUUAUCCCUUCAACUAUUUUUAGAAUCGGUAGGACAACAAAGAAGUGCCAUUAAAAUUAAAAGUUCCUUUAUUAGCAGACUACAUCAAAAAAUAAUGAAGCUAUGUAUUAUUAUGAACAUCAUACUUGUAAGUGAGGAUCAUUUUUCCUGUAAGUAUAUUAAGCAAAAUGUGAUUUAACCUGAAAGUGUAUGGAACUAUUUUGUGUUAUUUGAUGCUUCACUGAUAGGCAGGAGUUUACUACUUUCACUUUCUUUUUCAGGGGUUGACGUAAACAGACGGAUUUUGCGGGAAAACGAAUCUGACAUCAAACCACGAAACUCGGACUGAAGAUGGACAACUUGUGUAGCUUCAGUUUGAGGGAUCACUCGUUGCUGAACGAAAAUUAGGGAGAUUUCUGUGUGACAUUAUGUUAACAUUACCGGCUAUGGAAAAUGUAUUAGUGGACUAUACCCAUAUUAAAGCUUUCAGUGACUGAGACUGGGCACCAAGGGGAGCACCUAGGGAAGCAAGGGUUUUACACACCGCCAUGUCUACCCCAUUGUUAGCUCGUAACAGACCCGAGAGAGCACGAGAUUUUGCAUUUCUACUGUCACCUGGUUCUAGAUUAUGUGCCCGUAGACCAACAGAUUUGUGCCACCAGCUGGUUUUCUUACCACCCUUACAGAGAGUUACGCUCCAUCUGCAACCUUCACCGCAACCCCCACUGUAGCACUUGAUGACCCUGUCUACGACUCUAGGUAGGCAUUUUGAAAUUUUGUUCAAGUCACCGUUAUGUUUUUUAAACAAUGCCUGAAAAAUGCCGUGGCAUCGUUCUUUGAUGUCAUUGGCAAACAUUUUCUGCAAAUCGGACUUUUGAGUUUUAGUGUGUGCAGGAAACAUUUUGGGACUGAAUUCGGCUUUAAUACCUUGACGAAACAGACUUUGCCCCCUAUGAAUCCUAUCGGCUAGUCGGCUAGUUUUCCACAGGGGGGACAGAGUGUUUUGAAGGGCAGUUUCUAACCCCGCACAACUGGUGGCAUCACCAUCAGUGGUCACAUAUUUAACCAGUAGGUCAUGUUUUGCCAGUUUUUCCCCAAUUUUGUAUCCCGUCUCCCUCUCGGACAAUGGUUCGGCAGGAUUUUUAUUUGCUGUACAACCGACAUGCCCAUUUGGGCA